rnacentral:rRNA from 1 species
CCAGACUCCUACGGGAGGCAGCAGUCGAGAAUCAUUCACAAUGGGGGAAACCCUGAUGGUGCGACGCCGCGUGGGGGAAUGAAGGUCUUCGGAUUGUAAACCCCUGUCAUGUGGGAGCAAAUUAAAAAGAUAGUACCACAAGAGGAAGAGACGGCUAACUCUGUGCCAGCAGCCGCGGUAAUACAGAGGUCUCAAGCGUUGUUCGGAAUCACUGGGCGUAAAGCGUGCGUAGGCUGUUUCGUAAGUCGUGUGUGAAAGGCGCGGGCUCAACCCGCGGACGGCACAUGAUACUGCGAGACUAGAGUAAUGGAGGGGGAACCGGAAUUCUCGGUGUAGCAGUGAAAUGCGUAGAUAUCGAGAGGAACACUCGUGGCGAAGGCGGGUUCCUGGACAUUAACUGACGCUGAGGCACGAAGGCCAGGGGAGCGAAAGGGAUUAGAUACCCCAGUA